AUUGAAAGCUGGGGGUGCCGAUGUAGGCUGAGAAUUACCCUUAUUAGUUGAACUGGAUAAUGCCAGCGUAACGAAGCUAUAAAUAGAUAUG
rnacentral:ncRNA from 2 species